rnacentral:rRNA from 1 species
CGUACACAAAAAUGCACAUAUUGUGAGCUCGAUGAGUAGGGCGGGACACGUGGUAUCCUGUCUGAAUAUGGGGGGACCAUCCUCCAAGGCUAAAUACUCCUGACUGACCGAUAGUGAACCAGUACCGUGAGGGAAAGGCGAAAAGAACCCCGGCGAGGGGAGUGAAAAAGAACCUGAAACCGUGUACGUACAAGCAGUGGGAGCACGCUUAGGCGUGUGACUGCGUACCUUUUGUAUAAUGGGUCAGCGACUUAUAUUCUGUAGCAAGGUUAACCGAAUAGGGGAGCCGAAGGGAAACCGAGUCUUAACUGGGCGUUAAGUUGCAGGGUAUAGACCCGAAACCCGGUGAUCUAGCCAUGGGCAGGUUGAAGGUUGGGUAACACUAACUGGAGGACCGAACCGACUAAUGUUGAAAAAUUAGCGGAUGACUUGUGGCUGGGGGUGAAAGGCCAAUCAAACCGGGAGAUAGCUGGUUCUCCCCGAAAGCUAUUUAGGUAGCGCCUCGUGAAUUCAUCUCCGGGGGUAGAGCACUGUUUCGGCAAGGGGGUCAUCCCGACUUACCAACCCGAUGCAAACUGCGAAUACCGGAGAAUGUUAUCACGGGAGACACACGGCGGGUGCUAACGUCCGUCGUGAAGAGGGAAACAACCCAGACCGCCAGCUAAGGUCCCAAAGUCAUGGUUAAGUGGGAAACGAUGUGGGAAGGCCCAGACAGCCAGGAUGUUGGCUUAGAAGCAGCCAUCAUUUAAAGAAAGCGUAAUAGCUCACUGGUCGAGUCGGCCUGCGCGGAAGAUGUAACGGGGCUAAACCAUGCACCGAAGCUGCGGCAGCGACGCUUAUGCGUUGUUGGGUAGGGGAGCGUUCUGUAAGCCUGCGAAGGUGUGCUGUGAGGCAUGCUGGAGGUAUCAGAAGUGCGAAUGCUGACAUAAGUAACGAUAAAGCGGGUGAAAAGCCCGCUCGCCGGAAGACCAAGGGUUCCUGUCCAACGUUAAUCGGGGCAGGGUGAGUCGACCCCUAAGGCGAGGCCGAAAGGCGUAGUCGAUGGGAAACAGGUUAAUAUUCCUGUACUUGGUGUUACUGCGAAGGGG